rnacentral:rRNA from 1 species
UACGUAGGUGGCAAGCGUUGUCCGGAUUUACUGGGCGUAAAGGGCGCGUAGGCGGUCAGCACAAGUCAGUUGUGAAAUCUCCGGGCUUAACCCGGAAAGGUCAACUGAUACUGUGCGACUAGAGUGCGGAAGGGGCAACUGGAAUUCUCGGUGUAGCGGUGAAAUGCGUAGAUAUCGAGAGGAACACCUGCGGCGAAGGCGGGUUGCUGGGCCGACACUGACGCUGAGGCGCGAAAGCCAGGGGAGCAAACGGG